CCGUGACCUAGAGAGAGAGAGAGAGAGAGAGGAAGAAAGAAAGAAAGAAAGAAAGAAGGAGAAGGUGAAGAGGAACCCAUCUUAGAGCUUGAACAAGGGUGUGGAGUUUGGGUAUUGAUCUUAUUGUGUUCUUGAUUUUACAAUCAAGAGAGGUAGCAAAUAGGAUUUCUCUAUGGCACGCGUGGUGACGUGAGGAGUUCUUUCAUCAUGGGGUGUAUGGCGUGGGGUAAUCCUAUGGACGAAAAACGAUCGACGUAGAACGCCAUUUUUAAAUUAUGUUUUGUUUUUAAGAGACUU